GGGAGGGGAGGGGCGUGUGGCGCCGCUGCGAUGACGCCGCUGCGAUGACGCACUCGGCCAGCGACGCCGGAGAUGACGACGUCACACUGCGGUGGAAAAAAAAAAAAAGCGAGAAGGCGUCGAGCGCGUCCUUCAAAAGUUGCUAGUAAAGACAAGCAAGCAGCCACAUUUGACGGCGCUCGCUCGCUCGCCCGUCCGCCCUCGCAUUCCAAGUUAUCAAGUUAAGCACAUUUGCGCAGUCGCCCAAAAGGAAACCCGCCGCUGCCCGCCCGCCGACGUGUAGUUCCCGUAAUAUGGACGCCAUCCAAGCCACGCUUCUCGGAGUCGUCCCAAAUACGUUGGCGCUUCAUGUUAAAAGGACGACCAUAUAUUACUUUUUGCCCCUUCACAAGAACUGCUCAUUUUCGAGGGCACACGUAGAUGCCGGUAGGGGACGACACACAGUCGCUUAAAAAAUACAAUACUAAAAAAAAACGUAGACUACACCAUUAUGGCCCCCAUCACUUGUCACUCAAUGAACAAAUGCAGCACUGCAGUAAUAUAAAGGAGUUUGACGAAUAAAGUCAAUCUGGGCACGCACAAACGUAUACUGCCGUUCCAACCUCUCAAGAUGUAGCGAGAAGGAAGGAAGGAAGGAGACAAAAGGAUGGAAGCGGCAGGAAAAGAAGAGAGCAUCAAAGUCCUGCGAGGGAAGUCAAGUGGGACGAAGGAAAGGUACAAGGAAAAUUGGUUGUACAGUGGAGCAAGAUGGGAGGAAGCAAGGCAGCAGGAAAGAAAGGAUGGAAGAGCAAGGGAGGGAAGGGAACAGGCAAGGAAUGCUGUAGCUCCCCCCCGGCCUUUCCAGGGGGAGCGGGUGGUUGCCGUGGUAACGGGCGUGCGGCUCAGCGAAUGGCCGAGCGCUCGCCGUUUGCGGCCAGAAGUGCUGAGUGGGCCGGGCCGGCCCCCCUCCCGCCGUGCUGCCAACCAAAGCGCCCCCGCUCCCCCGUCCCCUCCUAUUAUGAUUGGCAGCCGGUGUUUGUGCGCUGAAGCUUCUAGCGUCCGGCCGGCCAGCUGGUCAUUCCAGUGCAGCGCGGCGCCGGCCCACCACCUAACCCAUGUGCGGGGUCAACUGGUUUCCAAAAGGGACGCUGCUGAGGAGCUGGCUGACCAAGUCCAGGCCCCGCCUCCUGCUGCUGAUCGCCGGGCUCAAGCGACCUCAGGUGACCCUGAUGAGGAGGAAGAGGAUGAAGAGAACCAAAGUAGCCAAGGCCACGUAAGCGAACGUGCAGCCGGAUGCCGCACUUUGCUUGAAGCCUCGGCGACGCCACCCGUUGGAGCACGUCGACGACGUUCAACAGGCAUCC